rnacentral:rRNA from 1 species
GACGAACGCUGGCGGCGUGCUUAACACAUGCCAGUCGAACGGAAAGGCCCUGCUUUUGUGGGGUGCUCGAGUGGCGAACGGGUGAGUAACACGUGAGUAGCCUGCCCUUGACUUUGGGAUAACUUCAGGAAACUGGGGCUAAUACCGGAUAGGAGCUCCUGCUGCAUGGUGGGGGUUGGAAAGUUUCGGCGGUUGGGGAUGGACUCGCGGCUUAUCAGCUUGUUGGUGGGGUAGUGGCUUACCAAGGCUUUGACGGGUAGCCGGCCUGAGAGGGUGACCGGCCACAUGGGGACUGAGAUAGGGCCCAGACUCCUACGGGAGGCAGCAGGGGGGAAUAUUGCACAAUGGGCGGAAGCCUGAUGCAGCAACGCCGCGUGCGGGAUGACGGCCUUCGGGGUGUAAACCGCUUUCGCCUGUGACGAAGCGUGAGUGACGGUAAUGGGUAAAGAAGCACCGGCUAACUACGUG